rnacentral:rRNA from 1 species
UACAGAGGUCUCAAGCGUUGUUCGGAUUCACUGGGCGUAAAGGGUGCGUAGGUGGUCGGGUAAGUCUGAUGUGAAUCUCCGAGCUUAACUCGGAAAUGGCAUUGGAUACUAUUCGGCUAGAGGGUUUGAGGGGGGACUGGAAUACUUGGUGUAGCAGUGAAAUGCGUAGAUAUCAAGUGGACACCAGUGGCGAAGGCGAGUCCCUGGAAAACUCCUGAC